AGAGUUUGAUCAUGGCUCAGGAUGAACGCUAGCGGCAGGCCUAACACAUGCAAGUCGAGGGGCAGCACGGGUAGCAAUACCUGGUGGCGACCGGCGCACGGGUGAGUAACGCGUAUGCAACCUACCCUUCACAGGGGGAUAGCCCGCCGAAAGGCGGAUUAAUACCCCAUGGCCCCAUUUGCCGGCAUCGGCGGAUGGGUAAAGGAGCGAUCCGGUGAAGGAUGGGCAUGCGUGCCAUUAGCUAGUUGGCGGGGUAACGGCCCACCAAGGCGACGAUGGCUCGGGGGUCUGAGAGGAUGGUCCCCCACACUGGUACUGAGACACGGACCAGACUCCUACGGGAGGCAGCAGUGAGGAAUAUUGGUCAAUGGGCGGAAGCCUGAACCAGCCAUGCCGCGUGCAGGAAGACGGCCCUACGGGUUGUAAACUGCUUUUCCGGGGGAAGAAUAAGGCCGACGUGUCGGACGAUGCCGGUACCCCGGGAAUAAGGAUCGGCUAACUCCGUGCCAGCAGCCGCGGUAAUACGGAGGAUCCGAGCGUUAUCCGGAUUUACUGGGUUUAAAGGGUGCGUAGGCGGGCGCUUAAGUCA
rnacentral:rRNA from 1 species